rnacentral:misc_RNA from 1 species
GAUGAAGAACGUAGCGAAAUGCGAUAAGUAAUGUGAAUUGCAGAAUUCAGUGAAUCAUCGAAUCUUUGAACGCACAUUGCGCCCUUUGGUAUUCCGAAGGGCAUGCCUGUUCGAGCGUCAUUUCACCACUCAAGCCUGGCUUGGUAUUGGGCGCCGCGGUCGAUCCGCGCGCCUCAAAGUCUCCGGCUGAGCUGUCCGUCUCUAAGCGUUGUGAUUUCAUUAAUCGCUUCGGAGUGCGGGCGGCCGCGGCCGUUAAAUCUUUCACAAGGUUGACCUCGGAUCAGGUAGGGAUACCCGCUGAACUUAAGCAUAUCAAUAAGCGGGGA